rnacentral:rRNA from 1 species
GAUGAACGCUAGCGAUAGGCUUAACACAUGCAAGUCGAGGGGCAGCAUAAGGGUAGCAAUACUCUGGUGGCGACCGGCGCACGGGUGAGUAACGCGUAUGCAACCUACCUACUACAGGGGGAUAACCCGGCGAAAGUCGGACUAAUACCCCAUAAUACAGGGGCACCGCAUGGUGAUAUUUGUUAAAGAUUCAUCGGUAGUAGAUGGGCAUGCGUUCCAUUAGGCAGUUGGCGGGGUAACGGACCACCAAACCUACGAUGGAUAGGGGUUCUGAGAGGAAGGUCCCCCACACUGGUACUGAGACACGGACCAGACUCCUACGGGAGGCAGCAGUGAGGAAUAUUGGUCAAUGGGCGAGAGCCUGGACCAGCCAAGUCGCGUGAAGGAAGACUGCCCUAUGGGUUGUAAACUUCUUUUAUAGGGGAAUAAAGUGCUCUACGUGUAGAGUUUUGUAUGUACCCUAGGAAUAAGCAUCGGCUAACUCCGUGCCAGCCGCCGCCGUAAGAC